GAAACAUAUAAAAUGCGAGAAUUCUCACGAAUUGGUCAUCAUUCAAUCUCAUCUCCUCAGAAAAUAUCAUCUCUUCAAAAACAAACAAAAACAUAACUUCGCCAUGUUCCGAUUCGUCCUUGUCGUUCUCGCCCUCAUCGCCGUGGCGUCCGCCCAGCUUUUGUACACUUCCGGUGUGAGCGGCCCCAACUUCCACAACGCUUUCGCCUCCUCCGCCUCCACCGGAAUUCGACGAUACGGAUCCACCGCUGGAUUGGCCUACGCCGCUCCAGCUUACGCCGCUGUCCCAGCCUACUAUUAAAAUUUUGAAGUUGUUAUAUUUCCAAAUUUUUUUUACCAUCUUCUCAAUAAAACUGUGGUCUGAUCUGAAUCGUUA